GGACGAACGCUGGCGGCGUGCCUAACACAUGCAAGUCAGGGAGAAAGAGGUAGCAAUAUCUCGAGUAAACCGGCGAACGGGUGAGUAACACGUAGGUAACCUGCCCUCGAGUUGGGAAUAACUUCGAGAAAUCGAGGCUAAUACCGGAUAAUGCAACGAACUCGCAUGGGUUUGUUGUUAAAGUUCCGCGCAAGCGGAACGCUUGAGGAUGGACCUGCGGCCGAUUAGCUAGUUGGCGGAGUAACA
rnacentral:rRNA from 1 species